CACCUUCCCAUCUAUUCCCCUCUUCCUUUUGAAGAUCCAUUUAUACCCUAUGGGUUUAAUCUCUUCAGGUGGGUCAACUAAUGUCCAUACAUCAUUGUCUUUCAUGGACUCUAUUUUGAAUUUCACAGCUUCAAGCCAUUUACCAGAGUCGGACCUCUGUAUUGUAUCUACAUAGGUGAUCGGAUCCUCAUUGUUCUCAUCAAGUUCAAUAGGAUCU
rnacentral:lncRNA from 1 species